AAUCCUACGGGACGCAGCAGUAGGGAAUCUUCCACAAUGGGCGCAAGCCUGAUGGAGCAACACCGCGUGAGUGAAGAAGGGUUUCGGCUCGUAAAGCUCUGUUGUUGGAGAAGAACGUGCGUGAGAGUAACUGUUCACGCAGUGACGGUAUCCAACCAGAAAGUCACGGCUAACUACGUGCCAGCAGCCGCGGUAAUACGUAGGUGGCAAGCGUUAUCCGGAUUUAUUGGGCGUAAAGCGAGCGCAGGCGGUUGCUUAGGUCUGAUGUAAAAGACCGCGGC
rnacentral:rRNA from 1 species